AACCUUGUUGCUAGGGACCGGGCGGUUUGCGGCAACCGUGGGCACUGCUGAAUUUGAAUUGAGGGGCGAGGGAAAAGUUUUCCUCAGGUGUGGUGGGGAGAGGGAGGCGGAUGCCGGGAAACCGUAGGGACGCGGUCAGAAAGGCGACGGGCUGUCGGAGUUGGAAAGGUAAAGUUGGAGGCAGGGCUACCAUCAGUCCCACGCCUCGCGUGUCCGCCCCCCGCACCCCGGGGCCAAGGAAAGGGAUCGCGGUCUGGACUCCCCGGGGAGUUCCCUUGAUGAGGGGAAGGGCAGGUUUGGGGACGGCGAGGACACGCGGCGACCGGAGAGAGGCUACCUGACCCGCGCAGCCCGGACUCCCUUCCCUUCCCUUCCAGGGACGCCUGGUUUCCCCCCAAGCGAACCGGGAUGGGAAGUGACUUCAAUGAGAUUGAACUUCAGCUGGAUUGAAAGAGAGGCUAGAAGUUCCGCUUGCCAGCAGCCUCCUUAGUAGAGCGGAAUGAGUAAUACCCACACGGUGCUUGUCUCACUUCCCCAUCCGCACCCGGCCCUCACCUGCUGUCACCUCGGCCUCCCACACCCGGUCCGCGCUCCCCGCCCUCUUCCUCGCGUAGAACCGUGGGAUCCUAGGUGGCAGGACUCAGAGCUAAGGUAUCCACAGGCCAUGAAUUCCUUCCUAAAUGAGCGGUCAUCGCCGUGCAGGACCUUAAGGCAAGAAGCAUCGGCUGACAGAUGUGAUCUCUGAACCUGAUAGAUUGCUGAUUUUAUCUUAUUUUAUCCUUGACUUGGUACAAGUUUUGGGAUUUCUGAAAAGACCAUACAGAUAACCACAAAUAUCAAGAAAGUCGUCUUCAGUAUUAAGUAGAAUUUAGAUUUAGGUUUCCUUCCUGCUUCCCACCUCCUUCGAAUAAGGAAACGUCUUUGGGACCAACUUUAUGGAAUAAAUAAGCUGAGCUGUAUUUCAAGUAAUAUAGUUAUAAAUUAACAAUGUAGCAGUUAUUGAUAGAGAAAUUGAGAAAACUGAAACGUGACCGGAGUAUUGGAAAUAACGUAGUACAUCACCUAGCACAAUGACACAUAGUAGGUGCUCAAUAAAUUUAUGCUUAUAAUUUUU
rnacentral:lncRNA from 1 species